UACGUAGGGUGCAAGCGUUAAUCGGAAUUACUGGGCGUAAAGCGUGCGCAGGCGGUUUUGUAAGUCUGACGUGAAAUCCCCGGGCUUAACCUGGGAAUUGCGUUGGAGACUGCAAGGCUGGAGUCUGGCAGAGGGGGGUAGAAUUCCACGUGUAGCAGUGAAAUGCGUAGAGAUGUGGAGGAACACCGAUGGCGAAGGCAGCCCCCUGGGUCAAGACUGACGCUCAUGCACGAAAGCGUGGGGAGCAAACGAGG
rnacentral:rRNA from 1 species